rnacentral:lncRNA from 1 species
GGCAGCACCGGGCAAACCCACUCCUCCACCCUGCCCCCCGGGGCCUGAGUCACCGUCUGAACAACCAGGGAGUCAUGGGGGUGGAGAAGCAGAGCCCAGAAAGCGGGCUAGCCUGCACGCACGCCAAGAUGGAGCUCCAGGCUAGCCCACAGAACAGCCCAGCCGCAGCCGUCCUACCAGACCAGCACCUUGUAACCACAGUCUAACCCAGCGGGCACCAGGCGAUUGUGAGUGCCACGGGGCUGAGGCCUGCGCCGACCUGGUCUGCUGGUGCUACCAGGCUUGAACAGUCUUCAAAUCCACUGCUAUUAGGCAAAUUACCUGGCUCCCGCUGAACUCCAGCACCUAGAACUAUGUCACACUCGUAGUAGGCCGCUGCAUUGGUUGAACAAAUGAUUUUGAAAGAAUGAAUGUCUUCCUCUGUGCCUGCAUUUCCUCAGAAGGCUGUAACAAAGAUUAAAUAGGAAAAUUCGUGGAAAGUUCAAUAAAAAAAAAAAAA